rnacentral:lncRNA from 1 species
AUGGAUUCCCGGUCCAGCUGCGUGGUGGUGACCGGUUUCGGGCCCUUCCGGCAGCACUUGGUGAAUUCCAGCUGGGAAGCGGUGAAGGAACUCUCCAAACUGGGCCUGGGGAGUGACAUGGACGUAGAGCUGCAGACCCUUCAGCUGCCGGUGGAUUACAGGGAAGUGAAGCAGAGGGUCGCCAGAAUCUGGAAAGAUCUUCAACCGCAAUUCGUUGUGCAUGUGGGCGUGGACCCCGCCGCCAAGGCCAUCUUUCUGGAGCAGUGCAGCAAGAACCGAGGCUACCGGGACGCCGACAUCCGGGGCUUCCGGCCCGAGUGUGGCGUGUGCCUUCCAGAUGGCCCAGAAGUGAUCGCGUCAGAGGUCAGCAUGAAGGCGGUCAGCAGGCGGGCAGCAGUGCAGGGCGUGGAGGUGGCCUUUUCCCGAGACGCGGGUAGGUUGUGCCAUCCUGUGCCAUCCGGCUGGGUGCUUGGAGCUGCCCAGAGUCAUCGUGCAGACCCACACGUUGCUCACUUCUGCCUAGGACUGAUUCUGAGGACCCGCCCACUCACUAGCCUUUGGCGGCUGGCAGAAGAGAAGGGGUAUGUCUGCGAUUACGCCUACUACCUGUCUUUGCAUCAUGGAAAUGGGUGUGCGGCCCUCAUCCAUGUCCCUCCGUUAUCUCCUCGGCUGCCCGCCAGCCUGCUGGGAAAAGCCCUGCAAGUCCUCAUCCAGGAAAUGCUGGAGGAGAUUGAGAAAGGCCGGGCUCAAAACCAGAAGCUCAGCCUUUGCAGUUCCAGCCGGGGAGAACCAACUGGGGGACUGCUCCAUUAGAGAAAAUGAAAUGUUUCACUCCUGUGUGUAGAGUUAAACUGUGCUUUGAGGGGCUUUAAAAAAAAAAUUGCUUAUAAAACAGUUUACACCAAGGAAAAAUGUUCUGAAUUCGCUCAACGAAAUCACAAAGGGUUAUUUUAUUGUCAAAAGAAAGAAGAACACUCUGAAAGGCAGACAUUUCAUAGGGGAUUAACUAGCUUCAGUUAUGGUUUUCCUGACAAUAAAAUGAAAUGCUGCUGCUGCUGCUGCUGCUAA